UAUUAUUUCUAUGAGGGGCAGAAAUAUAAUUGUGAUAAAAUUAAAACUGCCCUAGCGGUUUAUAAAUAGGGUUAUGGUCCCCAUUCUACGACUAUGCAUUCCAAUUUCUGAAAAUCCUCUCAGAGAGAAAUUGACACAGAAUCUAGUGGCUAGAAUUGGAAGACCAUCUCAAAGGGUUUUCUUCCUAUAAGGUUUCUCCUUCAAUGGAUUCAGGUAUGCUUCCGCUAUUAUUUUUCUACUCAUUGUUUUUAAUCAGGAGAUUCCAGUAUAUGUGAAAUUAGGGUAUUCACCCUGUUAAAUAUUCCAAUAUAUAUGAAAUUAGGGUAUUUACCUUGUUAACUAUUCCAGUAUAUAUGAAAUUAGGGUAUUCAUCUUGGUUGAUUUUAACAAGACUAUUCCAGUAUAUAUGAAAUUAGGGUAUUCAUCUUGGUUGAAUUUUAACAAAAGGGCCAUAACAAGCUCAUGGCCUCCAAGAUCAAACCCAUUUUUAUUUUGGAUGCAUCACCAUCCUAAAGAUGGGGUGGCUCAAGGAAUAAAGAGAUAUGAACUAUCCUAUUUGGAUGAGACUAUUUAUAUUUGUAGUGUCAAUCCUAAAGAUAGAACUCUUCACUUGGUAACAUUGAUGUCAAGGAUCUUAAUUACACAUUAAACUUAGACAUAAACUAGUAUAAUCACCUAAAGUAGUUCUACUUGCAUAGGCUAAGGGCUAAACAAAAGGGUAUGUUGAUCAAUACCUAAUGAUAACUUUUAAAGUUUAAGGCAAGUUGAUAAAGUAAAGAGGGUCUCUAUCUUAGUAAUAGGAGUUAUGAUUUGCUUAAAGUAGACUUGAUUCUUAUGAUAUUAGGAUACCUUUGUAGACUUUUCAUUUUGUCCAUUUAGCACAUGUCCUAUUGAGUGCUCUUUUAGUACUUCACAACAACUCCCUGGUGGCCCAUUGCUACUUAGACAGUCUAUCUUUCUUCGAGUCAUCUUGGAGACUUUGGUUGAGGGAUUUAUCUGGCCCCUCAUUGUGACCUUGGCAGUCCCUAAAGUUUAGUUUAGGUUUUUUUUUUUUUUUUUCACUUAGGUACUUUUCUAGGCUUAGUUUUUUUUAGGAUUAGGUGAGUUUUGAUUUGAUUUUUGAUUUUUGAUUGCAUGAGAUGAUUUUCCAAUCUUUGGUUGUAGGAGUUUGAUAUUUUGAUUUUUAUUAUUAUAUAUUGCAUUAGUUGAAUAUCUUGAUUCUUUCGGCUGCAUACAUGAUAUUUGUAUUUUGGUUUGUUUUAUUUAUUUGUUUAUUCAUUUAUUAUUUUAUUUCUCAAUUACAUGAUUUGAGGAAACGAGCUACCAUCUAUUUGGAAGGAGGAUCACCAAAUUUUUUUUAAAAAGGAAAGUGACAAUUGCAUUUUUUUAAUAAAGAUACAUCCCCAUGCAUAUAAGGAAGACAAGGCUACAAGAAAGGAAAUGUGUUAGAUUAAUGUUUUGUAAUUAAUCUAUAAUUUGGGCCACACAUGUAAAUAAUUAAAAUGUGUGUGCUAUCAUUUAAUUAAGCCUAAAUAUAGUGAUCUAAUUAAUAAUUGAUUAUUUGGCUUAAGGGUAUAAUUGUCAUGAGAUUAUUGUGUAGAUACCAUUAGAUAAUUAUUAUUUCUAUGAGGGGCAGAAAUAUAAUUGUGAUAAAAUUAAAACUGCCCUAGCGGUUUAUAAAUAGGGUUAUGGUCCCCAUUCUAUGACUACGCAUUCCAAUUUCUGAAAAAUCCUCUCAGAGAGAAAUUGACACAGAAUCUAGUGGCUAGAAUUGGAAGACCAUCUCAAAGGGUUUUCUUCCUAUAAGGUUUCUCCUUCAAUGGAUUCAGGUAUGCUUCCGCUAUUAUUUUUCUACUCAUU
rnacentral:lncRNA from 1 species